CAUACCUCUAUGAAGUGGCUGAGAUCACGCAGCGACAUUCUGAAAAAGAGCAGAGGAAACGGGCAAAAGGUUACAACAAGAAAGUCAGAGGGACAUGUCUGGAUAUUGGGGACCAUGUGCUAGUAGCAAAUAAAGGAGAAAGAGGAAAUAGGAAACUAGCAGAUAAGUGGGACCCUGUAGUGUACACUGUAGUGGACAGGAACCUGCAGACGCACACUUACAAACUCAAGGAUGAGAAAGGGAGUGUGAGGUUAGUGCACAGGAACCUGCUGUUGGAAAUUAGUUUCCUACCUGUUGAGUUGCCUGAUGAGGAAGGAAGCAUACUACCUUCUACAGGGGAGUCAGAGUGUGAGACGCAUAGCAUCAGGAGUGAGUUCUGUGUGGAAGACUUCGAUCCGAGGGGCCUGGAGGAAAGAACCAUGAGUUGGGUGAAAGACGACUUUGAAAGCCCUGCAGUUCAAGACUCUGAUGUUGAGAAAGUGAUUGGAAUGGACCAUUUCAGUUUGGAUGGAAGAGAGUCCAGUGAUCAGUUGCAGACUAAAGAGAAUAGUAGCAGGGAUCUGCCUCAGAGUGAAGCUGAAGCCAGUCCAACAUCUCUUGACGUUAUCCCUGACUGUGACACAGAUACGCAUACACAAAUUCAGACUGACAUUCAAACUGACACUGACACCCAAGUUCCAAUUCCUGAUGUUCAGGGUGUUAAGACACGAGCAGGUAGAGUUGUUAAGAAAGUGAAUAGAUUAAUUGAGUCAAUGGUUCAGAAACUCUUUUACCUCCAAGGUGUAGGAAGUAAUCUGAAAAAGAGAACUGGGUCAUUUCUUUCUUUGUUCUAAAGAGAACUCUGCUGUGUUUUGUUUUUGUAUGAUGUGAAAAAACAUUUUGAUUCCAAUGAUAAAAUACAGGGGUCAGGUCAUAUUAUGGUGUACCAGGCAUCGUAAUGUUCCAAGAUGAUCUUAGGCUUGAUCACCCUGAGGUUUUUCUUGACCUAAUAGUGGGUAACUCUCAAGUUGAACUAAUGAAUGUUUCAUUGUAUAUAUGUACCAGGCAAUUGAUUUG
rnacentral:lncRNA from 1 species